rnacentral:rRNA from 1 species
AUUGAACGAUGGCGGCAGGCCUAACACAUGCAAGUCGAACGAGUGGCGGACGGGUGAGUAAUGUCUGGGAAACUGCCUGAUGGAGGGGGAUAACUACUGGAAACGGUAGCUAAUACCGCAUACCAUCAGAUGUGCCCAAAUGGGAUUAGCUAGUUGGGGGGGUACCGGCUCACCAAGGCGACGACCCCUAGCUGGUCUGAGAGGAUGACCAGCCCCACUGGAACGUAGACACGGUCCAGACUCGUACGGGAGGCAGCAGUGGGGAAUAUUGCACAAUGGGCGGAAGCCUGAUGCAGCCAUGCCGCGUGUAUGAAGAAGGACUUCGGGUUGUAAAGUACUUUCAGCGAGGAGGCGUUACGCGCAGAAGAAGGACCGGCUAACUCAGUGCCAGCAGCCGCGGUAAUAC